UACGAAGGGGGCUAGCGUUGCUCGGAAUCACUGGGCGUAAAGGGUGCGUAGGCGGGUCUUUAAGUCAGGGGUGAAAUCCUGGAGCUCAACUCCAGAACUGCCUUUGAUACUGAGGAUCUUGAGUUCGGGAGAGGUGAGUGGAACUGCGAGUGUAGAGGUGAAAUUCGUAGAUAUUCGCAAGAACACCAGUGGCGAAGGCGGCUUACUGGCUCGAAACUGACGCUGAGGAGCGAAAGCGUGGGGAGCGAACAGG
rnacentral:rRNA from 1 species